UACGUAGGUGACAAGCGUUGUCCGGAUUUACUGGGCGUAAAGAGCGCGCAGGCGGUCGAUCAAGUCGAGUGUGAAAGCCCCCGGCUCAACUGGGGAGGGUCAUUCGAUACUGAUCGACUCGAAGGCGGGAGAGGGUAGUGGAAUUCCCGGUGUAGUGGUGAAAUGCGCAGAUAUCAGGAGGAACACCGAUGGCGAAGGCAGCUCGCUGGGACGGUACUGACGCUGAGGCGCGAAAGCGUGGGGAGCAAACAGG
rnacentral:rRNA from 1 species